AACGCGAAGAACCUUACCUACUCUUGACAUCCAGAGAACUUUCCAGAGAUGGAUUGGUGCCUUCGGGAACUCUGAGACAGGUGCUGCAUGGCUGUCGUCAGCUCGUGUUGUGAAAUGUUGGGUUAAGUCCCGCAACGAGCGCAACCCUUAUCCUUUGUUGCCGGCGGUCCGGCCGGGAACUCAAAGGAGACUGCCAGUGGUAAACUGGAGGAAGGUGGGGAUGACGUCAAGUCAUCAUGGCCCUUACGAGUAGGGCUACACACGUGCUACAAUGGCGCAUACAAAGAGAAGCGACCUCGCGAGAGCAAGCGGACCUCAUAAAGUGCGUCGUAGUCCGGAUUGGAGUCUGCAACUCGACUCCAUGAAGUCGGAAUCGCUAGUAAUCGUAGAUCAGAAUGCUACGGUGAAUACGUUCCCGGGUCUUGUACACACCG
rnacentral:rRNA from 1 species